GUGAAUCAUCAAAUUUUUGAACGCAUAUUGCACUAUCUGGGAUUCCGGAGAGUAUUCCUAUUUGAGGUUCAUUUGAUAUAAUAUAAAUUUCGAGAUUUUCUUGAAAUCAAAAAUGGGGCGGUUCAGCUUUCGUGUGGUGGUCGCCUAAAAUGCAAGACAAGCUCAUUUCUUGGGUUAGGUGAUUCUUUUAGUUACCUCGUGACUUCAUAAGAAAUGUUCUGUCGUGUUAUGAAUUGUGCAAGAAAUAAGCUUCAUAUAUCUCUAGCUCAAUAUUAAAUAGAAUCAUGCCCU
rnacentral:misc_RNA from 1 species